AUUGUCUUUUGAUCUAUCUGCUAGUUUAAGGUCCAUAGUAUGCCACAGGCCCAGUUAUUUUAUGUAGUAGAGCGAGUGGUGUAUGUCUAGCUCUAUAGUUAAUGUUGGUUAUGAUCCAAAUCAGAGGUUGUGCAUUGAAUGUUAUUGAACUGUGGAAAGUUCAUAUGUGGUUAUAACCUACUAAAAGGAAGCAUGGAUUUGCUUUAACAUCAGUUGUGCUGAAACACAUGGAGCUACAGAUGUUCGAUUUGAAAGCAGGUGAUUUAUAUGGAACAGCACCAUGUCUGGCAGUUCAGCGGAAAUGUUCCAUCUCUGAAAGGCCAGAGAGGGGUAUAGCUGAGCUCCAAGAGGCAACAGAAAAGAAUAAAAGGUCAGAGUACCAGGAAUCUCAUGGAUGGAUUUCUUCAUGCAAGAGAACGCUUCACCCCAUCUUUCAAUAGUAAACCUGACUAUAAAAAGUCAGUGAAAUAAAAGUCGAGCUGAACAAAGC